AACGAAGAGGGGAAAGUAAGUAAGUAUGGAGGGGGUAACUCUCAAUGAUGAGUCUGUGAGAAGAGAAUUCCACGGUGCCUCGUGAAGCACCAGUUUGACACGUUUCAUUUCAACUAAUUCUAUUAUGGCGCAAUUUUUUCUUCAAAACAGAGGAUAAUGAUAUAAAUUAAAUAAAAAAUACAUAUAACUAUUGGAGUAUAAUUUAGUCAUAUGCUU